GAUGAAGAACGUAGCGAAAUGCGAUACUUGGUGUGAAUUGCAGAAUCCCGUGAACCAUCGAGUCUUUGAACGCAAGUUGCGCCCGAAGCCGUCAGGCCGAGGGCACGCCUGCCUGGGCGUCACACGCCGUUGCCCCCCCGCGCCCCGCACCCAACGCUUUGGGAGCGACCGCGGGGCGGGCUGAUGAUGGCCUCCCGUGCGCUCCGCCGCGCGGUUGGCCCAAAUACCGAGUCCCCGGCGACGUGCGCCACGACGAUCGGUGGUUGAGAGACCUCUGUCGCAAGUCGUGCGCGCCCGUCGCGUCACGCGGGCUCGCAUAGCGCCUCGCGCCGCACCCGGUACGGAGCUUUCAACGCGACCCCAGGUCAGGCGGGGUUACCCGCUGAAUUUAAGCAUAUCAAUAAGCGGAGGA
rnacentral:misc_RNA from 1 species